CGUGUAGGCGGUUAAGUAAGUCAGAUGUGAAAGCCCUGGGCUUAACUCAGGAAGUGCAUUUGAAACUGCUUGACUAGAGUAAGAGAGAGGAAAGUGGAAUUCCUGGUGUAGAGGUGAAAUUCGUAGAUAUCAGGAGGAACACCGGUGGCGAAGGCGGCUUUCUGGCUCUAUACUGACGCUGAGACGCGAAAGCGUGGGGAGCAAACAGGAUUAGAUACCCUGGUAGUCCC
rnacentral:rRNA from 1 species